UACGUAGGGUGCAGGCGUUAAUCGGAAUUACUGGGCGUAAAGCGUGCGCAGGCGGUUUCUUAAGUCUGAUGUGAAAGCCCGCGGCUCAACCGUGGAGGGUCAUUGGAAACUGGGAGACUUGAGUGCAGAAGAGGAAAGUGGAAUUCCAUGUGUAGCGGUGAAAUGCGUAGAGAUAUGGAGGAACACCAGUGGCGAAGGCGACUUUCUGGUCUGUAACUGACACUGAGGCGCGAAAGCGUGGGGAGCAAACAGG
rnacentral:rRNA from 1 species